GCCGCGGUGCUGAAAUUUGGUAUACAGGCAAGACUUAAAAUCUUGUGGCGGCUAAUCCGUCAUGAGGGUCCGAGUCCCUCCCGCGGCA
rnacentral:tRNA from 1 species